rnacentral:lncRNA from 1 species
UUAUAGAUGUUUAAAACAUGGACUUGCUCCCACAUGUGUUUGACACAAUAUAAGUAGUAUCUGUCAUACCUGAUGCGGUAUAAUACAAAUAAAUAUAUAGGUAAUAUAUUCACUUUAUAGAAAAUAAAUAGAUGUUAUAUACUACUACCGAAUGAUUUUAUCCAAAUGUUGUUGGUUCGUGCAUAACUAAAUGUCAUGUUUUCUUACGCCACCCAUCUUAUUUGAGUUAUUAGAUUUAUAUUAUUGGAUUUUGGAGAAAAUUUGAUGCAUCAAAAUGCUUAGCUUACUCCCAGUCUCUCCUCAUAUCGAGGUUGAAGUAUUAGGUAAUACUAUUGUUUAGCACAUAACUUAUUACAUUAUGAAUUUUGGUGUGGCUUUCGAUUUUAUUUUUGUGGACAUUAUUUUUACACAUGCAGUCAUACCACCUUUCCGUUAUCUACCUCUGAUUAUACCUACUAGCGGUCAUAUCCUUCACAUGGUACAAAUCCUGAUACACUUUAUAGUAUUUUUGUUAUAAUUACUUUCAUGUAAAUCCAAACUAUUGUAGUUACUGAAAUUAAUUGGACAUUUAUUUAAGCCAUUUAACAAAGUGGAGCUCCAUUUGCUAGGGUUCGCAGGUCAUGAGAUGAGGUAAACUAACUUGUAAUAAGGCGUCUAGAGGUUAGUCACGCUGAGCUCCUAUCGCACCGCAGUCGUAUUCUUGGUUUAUGUCGACGGCAAACAAAUACUAUAAUGAGUUAUUACUAAAGUAUUAUGCUUACUUUUUUUCCUUUGAUAUGUUGGUUUUUCUUUUGAUAGCUUACCACAUACUUAUAGUAUAAACAAACAGGAAUUUGGCUUUGUAAAUUAUUUUGCGCCUUUGCAUAUGAUCUGGCCAGAUUUGUACGUAAUGCUGAGGCUUGAAGCAUCACAAAAGCUUGUACAGAAUCAUGUGUAGUGGUUGGGUUCGAAUAUAUAGAUUGAGAUUUUUUUUCUUGCCGAAAGGAUUGCCCUUCUUCACAUAGCUGCAGCACGUCCACAACACAUGUUUUGUCGCAUGCACGUAUCAUACGCUGUUAGCCUUUGGAUUAGAUGUUCACAUUCUAGUACUCCCUCCGUUCCUAAAUGUUGUCUUUUUAGGUAUUCACGUUCUAGUACUCCCUCUGUUUAUAUUUCUUGAUGUCAUUUCUAGUAUGCAAUCAUAUGACAUGUUUCAUGUAAAUUAAUAUGGGUUGCUAACAAUUUUUUAAUCUGCAAUUGAUCUAGUGUUUUUUACAUGGUAGCUUAAUAUCCUCCUUCCUUUUCUAAUAUGCAAACUUCUAAUAUGUGAGGUGCAGAAGUGCAUGAGGUGCGGUUCACCUUAGGCUCCUCCCACUCAUCGACGGUCUGGUCCAGCAUCACUUAACCGUUGUGACCUG